UACGUAGGGUGCGAGCGUUAAUCGGAAUUACUGGGCGUAAAGUGUGCGCAGGUGGCUUCGCAAGUCGAGUGUGAAAUCCCCGGGCUUAACCUGGGAAUUGCGCUCGAAACUACGGAGCUGGAGUAUGGCAGAGGGAGGUGGAAUUCCACGUGUAGCGGUGAAAUGCGUAGAGAUGUGGAGGAACACCAAUGGCGAAGGCAGCCUCCUGGGCCAAUACUGACACUCAUGCACGAAAGCGUGGGGAGCAAACGGG
rnacentral:rRNA from 1 species